CAGCCGUAAACUAUGCGCGUUAGGUGUACUGGUGACCACGAGUCACCGGGGUGCCGAAGGGAAACCGUGAAACGUGCCGCCUGGGAAGUACGGUCGCAAGGCUGAAACUUAAAGGAAUUGGCGGGGGAGCACCACUACGGGUGGAGCCUGCGGUUUAAUUGGACUCAACGCCGGAAAUCUCACCGGAUAGGACAGACAUAUGAUAGUCGGGCUGAAGACUCUACUUGAUGAUCUGAGAGGUGGUGCAUGGCGUCAGUGACU
rnacentral:rRNA from 1 species